rnacentral:rRNA from 1 species
UACAGAGGUCUCGAGCGUUAGGCGGAAUCACUGGGCUUAAAGCGUGUGUAGGCGGAUCGGUAAGUACCUUGUGAAAUCCCACAGCUUAACUGUGGAACUGCUUGGUAUACUGCCAGUCUUGAGCCAGCUAGGGGCUACCGGAACAAAUGGUGGAGCGGUGAAAUGCGUAGAUCUACGAAGGAACGCCAAAAGCGAAGGCAGCUCUCUGGGUCCCUACCGACGCUGGGGUGCGAAAGCAUGGGGAGCGAACAGG